AUUGAACGCUGGCGGAAUGCUUUACACAUGCAAGUCGAACGGCAGCACGGGUGCUUGCACCUGGUGGCGAGUGGCGAACGGGUGAGUAAUACAUCGGAACGUACCCUGACGUGGGGGAUAACGUAGCGAAAGUUACGCUAAUACCGCAUACGUCCUGAGGGAGAAAGCAGGGGAUCGUAAGACCUUGCGCGUUAGGAGCGGCCGAUGGCGGAUUAGCUAGUUGGUAGGAUAAAGGCCUACCAAGGCGACGAUCCGUAGCGGGUCUGAGAGGACGACCCGCCACACUGGAACUGAGACACGGUCCAGACUCCUACGGGAGGCAGCAGUGGGGAAUUUUGGACAAUGGGCGAAAGCCUGAUCCAGCCAUUCCGCGUGGGUGAAGAAGGCCUUCGGGUUGUAAAGCUCUUUCGGCAGGGAAGAAACGGUUUUGGAUAAUACCCAGAACUAAUGACGGUACCUGAAGAAGAAGCACCGGCUAACUACGUGCCAGCCGCCGCCGUAA
rnacentral:rRNA from 1 species